rnacentral:rRNA from 1 species
AAAAUGACUCUCGGCAACGGAUAUCUCGGCUCUCGCAUCGAUGAAGAACGUAGCGAAAUGCGAUACUUGGUGUGAAUUGCAGAAUCCCGUGAACCAUCGAGUCUUUGAACGCAAGUUGCGCCCGAAGUCUUUAGGCUGAGGGCACGUCUGCCUGGGUGUCACAC